GGUUACUACAGCGGUGGGGGAGGCCAAGGUGGAGUCUUGCUGUGGAAGGAAGCCAUUACUCCUACUGGUCAAGUAGCCAGCGAGCCAGUCUUCCUCCACACCCCAACCCCACUCCCCCCUCUAUUGGCGGAGAGAGAGAGGCCAAGGAGGGAGAUCCACUCCGUCCGAUGGCGAUGGCGCCGCCGCGUCUGCUGCGGGGCCUCAUCGCGCCGAUGUCGCCGGCGGACUGGCUGCCCUGCCACCUCCAGCUGCUGGCCUCGUCCGCCUCGCUCCUGCACCGCUGGUGGCUCCCCUCGCUCGCGCGCCUCCGCUGCCCCUCCUGCUCCGACGGAUUCAAGCUCUUCCUCGUCCUGCUCCUCUUCUCCGCCGCCCUCGCCGAGGUCCGCUUCGUCGCCUCCGCCUCCAUGGCGCCCACCCUCCGCCCGGGCGACCGCGCCGUCGCAGAAAAAGUCACCUACAUGUUCCGGAAGCCAUCUGCCGGGGAUGUAGUCUUCUUCCGGGUGCCCGCCGCCCUGCAGAAUUGCGGCAUAAAUAAAGAUGUUGUAUUUAUUAAGAGGGUUGUUGCCACCCCUGGAGAUUUCAUCGAGGUCCGACAAGGCCAGCUUAUUGUUAAUGGUGUUGCACAAAAUGAACAUUACACCGCACCCCAUGGUGGGUCGGACACGAUGGAAGCCAUGGUCCAGAGAUACUUGUAUACCCAAAUUCCUAUGGGUCACUACCACACAAACAAAUGACUUUACCACUGCAAGAGGAGGACCAAAAGUGGCAUGGCUGCUCCGUGUUGUUGACUUCUUGACUGCCUUGUUAUUCUUUCGAGAUGACGGGCCUCAGAUGGUGGAUGAUCUCUCCCUCCCAUCCCAUCCCUGUUAUCUGCUCGACCUAUGCCCGGAUCAAUCUGAUACUAAAACAAUCCAUCGUCCUGCAGCGCCUCCCUGAAGACCAUGUAUUCGUCAUGGGUGAUAACCGCAAUAACAGCUGCGAUUCUCGUGCCUGUUUGUGGUGACAGGGGACCUCUUCCUAUCAGCAACAUUGUUGGGAGACACAUCAUGUCCUUUACAAGAUCCUCCCUCCAAUAGCCAAGGCGAAGAUCUUCGACGGCCACCAGAGUUGCCAAACCCCUCCUCGAUGCCACUCGAUAUGAUGUAAUCGAGCUAUGUUGGGCCUCGAGCCCCUAGUAUGUAAAUCUGUGAGACCUUCCUUUCCUGUCUUAGCACGGGACCGUUGUAUGUGUAGUGACUUAAUCCCGGGGAGCACUGAAUAGUGACUUGUAGCUGUUGUCACUCACCCCCCACGGCCCCACCCCUGGACUGUCAGCUGUUAAGCUUACCUGUUGGUAGAACCUGCAAGAUGUACCUAAAGGUUACACCUUCUAGUAACCUUAGCUGUCGAAUCUAAUCGGUAAUGUUAUUAUUACCAUGCACCGUGUGCUUGGCUGUCAAUCAAAAAAGGAAAAAUCUGCAUGCCUGAAGAUAAGUCUGUUUGUCUGA